AUUACGAGCUAAAAUACUUUAGUGAAGCUUUAACAGACUACUGGUUCGCUGAAUUUACAUCUUUCAUUAGCUUAGCUAUCAGGGCUAGUUGAAGUAGUUUCCUUUAAAAAAAUCAAAGUUAAUAGCACGAACCAGGAUCAGUUUUUGCAUAGUGCGAAUCACGAUCAAUCACCCUACUUUCUCCUAGCCAAGCAAAGAGGCUUCAUUAUCCUACAGAACCUGCGUCAGAACGUUAACUGCUGACGCGUCGAGCCUGAUAUUUGAAGACUUCAGCGCUUAUUCUGAGUGUGCCAAAUGGUUAAAACGCCGCAGAGCAUCUAUCGCAGCACGACAAGAAUACGAAAAUGACAAGUUUGCUGCUGAAAGUCUUGCUGUUUCCGUCGGUUUGCAAAAGGUUAUACAAUUAUCGAGGAUGGAACAUUUCAAUGACGUUAUGUUUUCCAAGAGAAUCGUUGCUCCUAAUGAGACAUUCGCAUCAAUAGGAGGAUGGACUAUAGGUGGCAGGAAUGCAGCGGACAAUUCUUCCAGUCAGAACAAGAAUAGGAAUUAGAUAAUUCAUAUGAUACUGUUAGUGAUUUCGCCCCUUAUCAUAACUGAUGAAAUCACCUUCAAAUAUUUUGAGUCAGGACAUACGUUUAUGUCGGUAAAGUAUUCGGAAAUACCAAACAGGUGAACUUUACAUAUUUUCGGACUUCGUUGAAUGUGUCGUGCAGUCUAAUGAUGAAAUCAACUUAUUUUUUGCUGUCAUAAGUUUUUUUGAAAGAUUUACAUUACGUUGAAACCAUCUGUUCUGAGCUUUAGUUUGCCUCACCCGAAAUCAUCUGAGGUGAAACAGGUUCAAUUCACGCGAGGGUGUUUCGAUUUCAGAUACGAGACGUAUUUUGAAGGAGAAUUCCAGAACGUCAAACUGUUUACACUACUAUAACUGGGGAAAGUUCAGAAGUCAACGUUUAAUCUUCAUUCAACUCUCCAAUCCAAUAGCACGGAUAGAAGAAUCGAAAAAUCAAGGAAGGAGAGCAUUGUGUCGAAAUUGGGGUUGAUCUUUAAAUUAAUUGAUGAAUUCUGAUUACUGAUAAUAUUAUUCUAGUCAAAACUGUAUAAUAUAGGUUUACCCAAUAGAGUUUUGGUUCGCUAAUAGCAAUGGUUUAAUUAGCUUUUUAUUACCUGAACCACUUUCCCACCGAAGUGGCGAUGUACUCAAUCACUCGUGAAAGUCUCAGUUUCCACAACACUAUACUUUCGUACACUUUAACUGUUUCCAUAGAAUAACUUUUACAAUAUUAUAAAGUAGUUCAGAAAUCACUUUCAUUUCCAAUAGUUGUUACUUCAGAGGCGGAAAACUUUUGACAGCUCUUACAACGAUACGAUCAAGGCCAACUUGAUUUCCAAAUUUAGAGCGAAUGUGAUAUGGUUAUUUCACUUGGGAACAUGAUUAUUCGCUGCCAUCCAGGAUAGAAAUUAGCGAAUAAAACUAAGUUUUUAGUUAC